GAUGAACGCUGGCGGCGUGCCUAAUACAUGCCAGUCGAGCGAACAGAUAAGGAGCUUGCUCCUUUGACGUUAGCGGCGGACGGGUGAGUAACACGUGGGUAACCUACCUAUAAGACUGGGAUAACUUCGGGAAACCGGAGCUAAUACCGGAUAACAUUUGGAACCGCAUGGUUCUAAAGUGAAAGAUGGUUUUGCUAUCACUGAUAGAUGGACCCGCGCCGUAUUAGCUAGUUGGUAAGGUAACGGCUUACCAAGGCAACGAUACGUAGCCGACCUGAGAGGGUGAUCGGCCACACUGGAACUGAGACACGGUCCAGACUCCUACGGGAGGCAGCAGUAGGGAAUCUUCCGCAAUGGGCGAAAGCCUGACGGAGCAACGCCGCGUGAGUGAUGAAGGGUUUCGGCUCGUAAAACUCUGUUAUUAGGGAAGAACAAAUGUGUAAGUAACUGUGCACGUCUUGACGGUACCUAAUCAGAAAGCCACGGCUAACUACGUG
rnacentral:rRNA from 1 species